AGCAGCUACUCCUCCCUCCACUCCUCUCUCUUGCUCUCGUACGCUCGCUUCCUUGCUCUCGUGGAUCCAAAAAUGGCGGAGGAUCCUGACGCCGAGGCUGGAGAUCUCCCCGUCGGGGUGCCGCUGGUGGCAUCGCGGGCGCCGGAGCUUCGAUUCGAUGGUUUCGGCGAGGGAAAUGGUGGAGGGUCGUGGGAGGGGCGGGGCGGGAGGGAAGGGAGGGCGGAUCCUAGGGUUUCGUCGCUCUCCGGGGCGAGGUACAAGUCGAUGUCGCCGGCGCGCCUCCCGAUCGCGCGCUCCCCGUGCCUCACAAUCUCCUCCGGCCUCAGCCCUUCUGCGCUGCUCGAGUCGCCGGUCCUCCUCACCAAUAUGAAGGCAGAGCCUUCCCCAACUACCGGUACCUUUAACAUGGCCUUAGUGAUGAAUAAAACUGUUUGUUCUGACACAAUAUCAUCUCCAAGGGAUUCCAACACUAGUGCAUGUGUUGAAGAGAAUUCUGCAGCUUUUGAGUUCAAACGCCCUGUGAGAUCAUCUAUAAAUUCGGGCUUGUCUCCAUUGGGAGCUUUGGCUUCUGUCAAUCCAAGUCAACCAGAGCAGGAGCCUUCUUUACAAGUUCAAAGUCAAUCACAAACUCAGACAUCUUCCCAGUUAGCUAAAGCUGAGAAGGCAGCUUCUUCUUCCCAUGAAUUGACUUUGUCGGUAAGAAAUCCACAUCCACCUCUUGAAACACUUCCUUUGGCUGUUGUACCCCCGGAAGUUGCGUCUGAUGAGUUACGACAGAUCAACGGUUCAGAGAAUGGCAUACAGUCAUUGCAAUCUGAUCAUAAUGGAUAUAUGCCGUCAACUAUAACUGAAAAGUCUUUAGAAGAUGGAUACAACUGGCGGAAAUAUGGGCAGAAACAUGUUAAAGGAAGUGAAUAUCCUCGAAGCUAUUACAAAUGCACGCAUCCUAAUUGUCAAAUGAAAAAGCAACUGGAACGCUCUCAUGAUGGACAGAUUACUGAAAUUACUUAUAAAGGUCGGCAUGAUCAUCCUAAACCUCAGCCUAGCCGUCGAAUAGCAGUGGGUGUCAUCCUUUCUGCCCAAGGAGAGGAAAAACCUGAUGGGUUGCCUUCAGUAGCAAGUCCAGAAGGUAAAUCAUCCACUGCGCACAUAUCUCAUCCAAUUGAUCCAAAUGGUGCUCCUCAGCUUUCUCCUAUCUCAGCCAGUGAUGAUGAUGUGGAAAUUGGAGGUGCACAUUCCCACUAUACUGGCGAUGAGGUUAUUGAUGGUGAUGAUCCGGAGUCAAAGCGCAGGAAAAUGGAUGCCACUUGUGUUGAUGCUACUCCAAUUGGUAAACCUAACCGUGAACCACGGGUUGUUGUACAAACAGUGAGUGAAGUUGAUAUAUUGGAUGAUGGGUACCGCUGGCGGAAAUAUGGGCAGAAAGUAGUGAAAGGAAAUCCAAAUCCUCGGAGUUACUACAAAUGCACAAAUGCUGGGUGCCCUGUUAGGAAACACGUGGAGAGGGCUUCACACGAUCCAAAAGCGGUGAUAACCACUUAUGAGGGCAAGCAUAACCAUGAUGUACCUGCUGCAAAGACUGUCAACCAUGAUACAUCUGUACCAAUGAUUGCAGAUUGUUCCAACACUACGACGACUCGCACGUCAGCAGCUCUCAGAGGUUUUAUGAGGACUUGUGACACAAUGAUUAUCUCCCAGAAGUACACUCAACCGGAGGAGAGCGACACAAUCAGCCUUGACCUUGGUGUUGGGAUCAGCCGGAAUCACAGCAACACAACUGAGCUGCACCAAUCUCCAGCAAGAGACCAAAUCCACAGCCAUCAGAUUCAAUCUGUUGGUUCUGAUUGUGGUAAUGUGGUAAUUCAAGCAAAUCCAUUAUCAACUCUGUAUGGAAAUUCAAGCAAUGGCAUCUAUGGCACUAGUGAAGACAAAGGCGAGGGUUUUAUGUUCAGGACCGCACCUAUAGACCGUUCAUCUAACCUCUAUUAUGCAAGCACAGGAAGUUUAGUAAUGGGCCCAUGAGAGACUCUGUAACCUGGUUGAACAGAACAUUGGGCUUAAAUUGCCUGCGAUUACAGAUUUCUUCUGCUGUUCAGGCCAAAAUAAAAACAGUGGAUGUUCUUCGCAGGCUUAUCAUGUUGUACCAUAACUCAUUACAAUGCUUCAUGUGUAGUCAAGUAGCAAAAUUCUGCGAAAGUUCACAGAUCAGGUCUUAUUGUGGCUCUCGAGAAAAAGUGAGGGGGAGAAGAAACUUCUAUGCUUUUAACUAAAGCUGAACUGGUUGCUCAAACAAUUCUGCCAGCUUUCUGAAGCUUUGUUUUUUUCUCUCUCUGAUUGUAUCUGCCAGCUUUGUUUUGCUUCUUAAUAGAUAAACAUAUACAUGGUUAAACAUUCUA